UACUUUCUAGUAUAAAUAGUACAUUCGCCUUCCAAGCGAAAAGCCUUAAAUAAGGUAAGUAA
rnacentral:tRNA from 1 species